rnacentral:rRNA from 1 species
UACGUAGGGGGCAAGCGUUGUCCGGAAUCAUUGGGCGUAAAGGGUGCGUAGGCGGGUCUUUAAGUCAGAGGGGAAAUCCUGGAGCUCAACUCCAGAACUGCCUUUGAUACUGAAGAUCUUGAGUUCGGGAGAGGUGAGUGGAACUGCGAGUGUAGAGGUGAAAUUCGUAGAUAUUCGCAAGAACACCAGUGGCGAAGGCGGCUCACUGGCCCGAUACUGACGCUGAGGCACGAAAGCGUGGGGAGCAAACAGG